rnacentral:rRNA from 2 species
GCGAGUGAAGCGGCAACAGCUCAAAUUUGAAAUCUGGCCUCGGCCCGAGUUGUAAUUUGUAGAGGAAGCUUUAGGCGCGGCACCUUCUGAGUCCCCUGGAACGGGGCGCCACAGAGGGUGAGAGCCCCGUAUAGUUGGAUGCCUAGCCUGUGUAAAGCUCCUUCGACGAGUCGAGUAGUUUGGGAAUGCUGCUCAAAAUGGGAGGUAAAUUUCUUCUAAAGCUAAAUACCGGCCAGAGACCGAUAGCGCACAAGUAGAGUGAUCGAAAGAUGAAAAGCACUUUGAAAAGAGGGUUAAAUAGCACGUGAAAUUGUUGAAAGGGAAGCGCUUGUGACCAGACUUGCGCCGGGCGGAUCAUCCGGUGUUCUCACCGGUGCACUCCGCCCGGCUCAGGCCAGCAUCGGUUCUCGCGGGGGGAUAAAGGCCCCGGGAACGUAGCUCCUCCGGGAGUGUUAUAGCCCGGGGCGUAAUGUCCUCGCGGGGACCGAGGACCGCGCAUCUGCAAGGAUGCUGGCGUAAUGGUCACCAGCGACCCGUCUUGAAA